rnacentral:rRNA from 1 species
GACGAACGCUGGCGGCGUGCCUAAUACAUGCAAGUAGAACGCACAGUUUAUACCGUAGCUUGCUACACCAUAGGCUGUGAGUUGCGAACGGGUGAGUAACGCGUAGGUAACCUGCCUGGUAGCGGGGGAUAACUAUUGGAAACGAUAGCUAAUACCGCAUAAUAUUAAUUAUUGCAUGAUAAUUAAUUGAAAGGUGCAAUUGCAUCACUACCAGAUGGACCUGCGUUGUAUUAGCUAGUAGGUGAGGUAACGGCUCACCUAGGCGACGAUACAUAGCCGACCUGAGAGGGUGAUCGGCCACACUGGGACUGAGACACGGCCCAGACUCCUACGGGAGGCAGCAGUAGGGAAUCUUCGGCAAUGGACGAAAGUCUGACCGAGCAACGCCGCGUGAGUGAAGAAGGUUUUCGGAUCGUAAAGCUCUGUUGUAAGAGAAGAACGGGUGUGAGAGUGGAAAGUUCACACUGUGACGGUAUCUUACCAGAAAGGGACGGCUAACUACGUG